UGUUGGAAGGGAAACGCUUGAAGUCAGACUUGCUGUUCGGAGUUCAGCCGCAAGGUGUACUCUCCGAGUUGCAGGCCAGCAUCAGUUUUCUGGGAUGGAAAAUCACGGUUUGAAGGUAGCAGUUUCGGCUGUGUUAUAGCUUUCCGUUGGAUACAUCCUGGGGGACUGAGGAACGCAGUGUGCUUUUAGCGGGGGCUUCGGCCCCUUCACACUUAGGAUGCUGGUGGAAUGGCUUUAAACGACCCGUCUUGUAACACGGACCAAGGAGUCUAACAUGCUCGCGAGUAUUUGGGUGUCAAACCCGGAUGCGCAAUGAAAGUGAAUGUAGGUGGGAACC
rnacentral:rRNA from 1 species